rnacentral:misc_RNA from 1 species
GAAAUGCGAUAAGUAAUGUGAAUUGCAGAAUUCCGUGAAUCAUCAGAUUUUUGAACGCAACUGGCGCUGGCUGGGUCUCCAGCCAGCAUGCUUCUUUCAGUAUCUUGUUUUCUCCUCACCCAAACCUUAAUGCUAGAGAUACCCUUCUCUUGCCAAGCACGAAAGCACUCUGCGCUCUGCGAGCUUCUCCUUGACUAGCUCAGGGGGUCGCACUCAAUGCAGCCGUCACAUUUCUCACAAUGUGAACUCAUUGGGAGCAGAGGCUGUCAGCUCACGCUGUCAGUGCUUAGUCACUUAAACUUUCUUUGCAUCUGAAAUCAAGCAGGAUCACCCGCUGAACUUAA